AUUGAACGCUGGCGGCAGGCUUAACACAUGCAAGUCGAACGAGUGGCGGACGGGUGAGUAAUGCAUGGGAAACUGGCUGAUGGAGGGGGAUAACUACGGAAAACGGUAGAUAAUACCGCAUACCAUAGGAUGCGCCCAGGGGGGAUUAGGUAGUUGGUGAGGUAAAGGCUCACCAAGCCGCCGAUCUCUAGCUGGUCUGAGAGGAUGACCAGCCACACUGGGACUGAGGCACGGGCCAGAGUCCUACGGGAGGCAGCAGGUGGGAAUCUUCCGCAAUGGACGAAAGUCUGACUGAGCAGCGCCGCGUGAGGGAUGACGGCCUUCGGGUUGUAAAGCUCGUUAAGCGGGACGACGGUACCGGAAUAGAAAGCCACGGCUAACUACGUGCCAGCAGCCGCGGUAAUAC
rnacentral:rRNA from 1 species